GACAGAGGGUGCAAACGUUGUUCGGAAUUACUGGGCGUAAAGCGCGUGUAGGCUGCUUCAUAAGUCGGGUGUGAAAGCCCUGGGCUCAACCUAGGAAGUGCACUCGAAACUGCGAAGCUUGAGUCCUGGAGAGGAAGGCGGAAUUCUCGGUGUAGAGGUGAAAUUCGUAGAUAUCGAGAGGAACACCGGUGGCGAAGGCAGCCUUCUGGACAGUGACUGACGCUGAGGAGCGAAAGCAUGGGGAGCGAACAGG
rnacentral:rRNA from 1 species